GUGGCGUGCCUUUUGAAGAAUGAGCCUGCGAGUUAGUGAUACGUGGCGAGGUUAACCCGUGUGGGGAAGCCGUAGCGAAAGCGAGUCUGAAUAGGGCGAUUGAGUCGCGUGUCCUAGACCCGAAGCGGAGUGAUCUACCCAUGGCCAGGUUGAAGCGACGGUAAGACGUCGUGGAGGACCGAACCCACUUCAGUUGAAAAUGGAGGGGAUGAGCUGUGGGUAGGGGUGAAAGGCCAAUCAAACUCCGUGAUAGCUGGUUCUCCCCGAAAUGCAUUUAGGUGCAGCGUCACGUGUUUCUUGCCGGAGGUAGAGCACUGGAUGGUCUAGGGGGCCUAUCAGCUUACCGAAACCAGCCAAACUCCGAAUGCCGGCACGUGGAGCGCAGCAGUGAGACGGCGGGGGAUAAGCUUCGUCGUCGAGAGGGAAACAGCCCAGAUCAUCAGCUAAGGCCCCUAAGUGAUAGCUAAGUGGAAAAGGAUGUGGAGUUGCGUAGACAACCAGGAGGUUGGCUUGGAAGCAGCCAUCCUUGAAAGAGUGCGUAAUAGCUCACUGGUCGAGUGGUUCUGCGCCGACAAUGUAGUGGGGCUCAAGUACACCGCCGAAGCCGCGGCAACA
rnacentral:rRNA from 1 species